GACGAACGCNGGCGGCGUGCCUAAUACAUGCAAGUAGAACGCUGAAGAGAGGAGCUUGCUCUUCUUGGAUGAGUUGCGAACGGGUGAGUAACGCGUAGGUAACCUGCCUUGUAGCGGGGGAUAACUAUUGGAAACGAUAGCUAAUACCGCAUAACAAUGGGUGACACAUGUCAUUUAUUUGAAAGGGGCAAUUGCUCCACUACAAGAUGGACCUGCGUUGUAUUAGCUAGUAGGUGAGGUAACGGCUCACCUAGGCGACGAUACAUAGCCGACCUGAGAGGGUGAUCGGCCACACUGGGACUGAGACACGGCCCAGACUCCUACGGGAGGCAGCAGUAGGGAAUCUUCGGCAAUGGGGGCAACCCUGACCGAGCAACGCCGCGUGAGUGAAGAAGGUUUUCGGAUCGUAAAGCU
rnacentral:rRNA from 1 species